UCUGGAGCAAACCGGAGCGGAGUUGAUUAGCUUGUGAUCAGUGUUGACCACGAUGUGAUUUCUGCCCAGUGCUCUGAAUGUCAAAGUGAAGAGAAAUUCAACCCAGCGCGUGUAAAGGGCGGGAAUAACUAUUUGACUCUCUUAAGGUAGCCAAAUGCCUCGUCAUCUCAUUAGUGACGCGCAUGAAUGGAUCAACGAGA
rnacentral:ncRNA from 1 species